ACUAGUGGGAAAUGAAUUUGUGUUGGUCAAAACCCCUUUUUAUUUUUCAUAAAACUAAAUAACAAAUUAACGUUAUAAUAUAAUUAGCAGGCAGAAAGCAUCAAUACAUGGCAACAGAAAAGUCUCUCUGAAGAUGAAAAAUAGCAGCUUGCAGGGUUUGAUAGUCUGCUGUUCGGGUAUUUAAAGUUGGACAUUGCACAAUAUGCUCCGAAAAAAAUAGUUUUGGAAAAGGGUGUGAAGUACUAUGAGCAGCUGUUAAAGGAGCAUGCUAAAGAGACGGGAGAGGACGAUGACAUCAAAGGGAAGCAACUCGACCCCGCCGUCUACUGCCAUCUCGGACACCUGCACCUGCUGCUGGAAGAUUAUCCAAAAGUCAGCUGUUCGUGUUUUUAAAGUUGGACAUUGCACAAGAUGCUCCAAAAAAAGUUUUGGAAAAGGGUGUGAAGUACUGUGACCUGCUGUCAAAGGAGCAUGCUAGAGCCGGGAGACGACGAUGACAUCAAAGGGAAGCAACUGGACCCUGCCAUCUCGGACACGUACACUUGCUGCUGGAAGAUUAUCCAAAAGAGAUGCCCUCCUGGCUUGGAAUUGCUGUGUUCGUUGACGACUCGCAUGUCUCCUGGCUAUCCGCUCGAUGCUCUUCAAGUGGCAUAUGACCAAUGUUUCGUCAUGUAUCCCAGCUCCCACAGCUGUACAUCGUUGAAUGACCGAACUUGAAAACCCACUGUUCAGCAUGUGCACAGCACUGUGUAUGUGGCUGGUGAAAUUUCUGUGAUAUUCUGCUCUGGGAUGACUGUAAUCCAGACAUGGCAUGGGAAUCGCCAUCAGUCGUGAAGAAUCCAAUCGUGAGUGGAGAGACGUCUGAUGAGAAGUCACUGGAACACUGAGCUGCAGAAUGUUUUUCAUCUCCUAUUGUGUCGUCAAGCCGGAGAUUUGCUGUACAGGAACUCGCCUGCCUGUGUACCACCUCCAGUUGAGAUCCGUGUUGGUCAGAGAAGUCUGAUGUCACUAGGAAUUCCAUCCGCAUCCUUGACGAUGUAUGACUGUCUAUCACAAUGGUGUACCACAGCGUUGAACUCUUCUUGACUAAGUCUCUUGGUAACUGGUAUGUUGUCACCUUCAGGCUUAAGACACUUUGUUUUAGUAACACCUAUAGUUCUUUUGAACAGACAUUGGUGUCCCUUUUGUAAGGCACCCUUGUUGUGCAGGUUUUCUGUUGGAUUUUUCUUUGGCUUCAUUGUUAGUACACUGGGUGUGGUAUAUUCUCUUAGUAUACGGAAAAGUGUGAACUUUUGUAUCUCUUAGCAUGUAGCAGUCUUCAGUGGAAUGGAACCUGUGGUGUGUGUUAUGUUAAUAAAUACUCUCAUGCAGUAAA
rnacentral:lncRNA from 1 species